GAAAAACGAUCGAAGUAAUCGAAACUUGUUGUUUAUGACUUUAUUGUAACUUCAGUGAAAAAGAAGUUAUUAUUUAUAUUUAACAUUGAUGAUAUUUAUCUGCCAUAUAAUUCUAGAAUUUAUUACUAUAUGAAAAACAACGUAUGUAAUAGAAAAACGAUAUAUAUUAGGUUAUCCGAAAAGUGUUUUGCUACCUGCAUGCAGUUGUUUUACUGGCAAUGUUUAUACAAACAUGAAACUGUCAAAUGAUGUUAUUGUCUUCAGUCGUCCUCUAGCUGUCAUAACAUAUGUUUUGUGUACAUUGAAGUUCUGUAUACACCCUUUCAUAUGCCUUUAAAUAUGAAAAAUCAAAGGAAGCAUAUAAUGCUGCAUUAUUUUACAAAAGACAACAGUGCUAAAGAUAUCACAACUAAGAUUUGUAACGUGUAUAGAAGUUAUGCUACAAGUGUUCUAACAAUUGGCAGUUGCUUUAGGAGGUCUAGAACUGGUAAUUUUAAUUUGGAAGAUAAAGAACACAGUGGCCGCCCAUUCAUUACGAAUACGAAACUAAUCAUGGCUGUGGUUAAUGAAAAUGCGCGAUAUAUUAUUCAUGAAUUAGCGGAUAUUUUAAACAUUCCGCGAACAACAGUGCAUGAUAAUCUUAGAAAAAUUAGCUAUAUCAAUCGCUCUGAAGUAUGGAUCUCACAUCAAUUUAUAAAGCAACCUCCUUAAUCGUGUUUUGACAUGUGAUUUGUUUCUUUAAUGAAACGAGCAAGAUCUAUUUUUGAAAAAAUUGAUUACUAGGGAUGAGACGGAUUUUUUACGAAAAUAUUACAUGUGAUCUUGGUUCAAGAAUAAAAAACCUUUAACAGUAGUAAGGUUUGAUUUCACCCGAAGAAAGUUUUGAUGUCUGUUUGAUAGGAUUGCAAGGAUGUCAUUUAUUACAAACUGCUUCCUCAUUGAAACAAUCAAUUUAGUGAAAUAUUGUUCCUAAUUAGAUAAAUUGAAGAGAACAAUCGUCACAAAACUGUCAGAAUUAGCAAACAGUUGAGAUGUCGUUUUCCAAUACAAUAAUAACAAGCCUUAUGCAUCUUAAAGCAUCAAGAAAAAUUGUUAUCAUUUAAUUGAAAUAUUCUACCUCAUCCUUCAUACUCUUCGUAUAUUGCCCUAAAUGAUUACUUUAUUUUUUUUUUUUUUCGUUAAAAAAUAUGUGGUAAAAAAUUUAAUAUAAUAAAUGAUAUAAAAAUGCAUCUAGGACAAUAGUUUUCUAGCAAAUCCCAGAAGUUUUGAAAAGAUGGCAUUAUGCUUCCAGAGAGAUGGAGAAAGGCGCAUUUCACUUCCCCAUCAGAUGGACGCUUUACAGAUUGCCUAGGAUUUUUUGUUGUAUCCUGGACAUAAAAAUAAUACAUAUAUAUAUAUGAUAUAUAUAGAUGAUCGGUGUUCGAGUCCAAUCUGGAUCUUUCUCUACAUCAUCUUCAACAAAACUGUCAUCUGAUAGAAAAGAAUUUUCAUAAUAUUUUGAAGAUAUUUUUUGUACUUUUGGAGUAAUCAUAAUUGAAGAAUCCUCAUUGUUCUUGCUAGAAUUAUUCUCUUUUAGAACCUAUAAAAUAUAUAUACAAGUGUUAUUAAUAAAUAAAUAUAUAUAUAUAAUGCUUAUAUUUUAAUAUUUUAAUUAUAAAUAUUUAUUAAAGAAAAAUCUAAAAUA